AAUCCUGGCUCAGGACGAACGCUGGCGGCGUGCCUAACACAUGCAAGUCGAGCGGAGACAGUGAGUAGCUUGCUAUGAGCUGUUUUAGCGGCGGACGGGUGAGUAACGCGUGAGCAACCUUUCCCAGACAGGGGAAUAACACACCGAAAGGUGUACUAAUACCGCAUAAGACCACGGAAUCACAUGGUUCUGAGGUAAAAGAUUUAUCGGUUUGGGGUGGGCUCGCGUCCGAUUAGGUAGUUGGUGAGGUAACGG
rnacentral:rRNA from 1 species